rnacentral:tRNA from 1 species
UGUUAGCAUAGUUUAACCAAAACAUUAGAAUGUGGACCUAAAAAUAGAAGCUUAACCCUUCUUGCAAACCGAGAGGUGUUAUGAACACCAA